rnacentral:rRNA from 1 species
GAUGAACGCUGGCGGUAUGCUUAACACAUGCAAGUCGAACGGACUCUUCGGAGUUAGUGGCGGACGGGUGAGUAACGCGUGAGGAUCUGGCUUUGGGUUCGGGACAACCACUGGAAACGGUGGCUAAUACCGGAUGUGCCGAGAGGUAAAAGAGAAAUUGCCUGAAGAUGAGCUCGCGUCUGAUUAGCUAGUUGGUGAGGUAAAGGCUCACCAAGGCAGCGAUCAGUAGCUGGUCUGAGAGGAUGACCAGCCACACUGGGACUGAGACACGGCCCAGACUCCUGCGGGAGGCAGCAGUGGGGAAUUUUCCGCAAUGGGCGAAAGCCUGACGGAGCAAUACCGCGUGAGGGAAGAAGGCUCUUGGGUUGUAAACCUCUUUUCUUAGGGAAGAACAAAAUGACGGUACCUAAGGAAUCAGCAUCGGCUAACUCCGUG